rnacentral:rRNA from 1 species
GAUGAACGCUGGCGGCGUGCCUAAUACAUGCAAGUCGAGCGAACAGACGAGGAGUUUGCUCCUCUGACGUUAGCGGCGGACGUGUGAGUAACAUGUGGAUAACCUACCUAUAAGACUGGAAUAACUUCGGGAAACCGUUGCUAAUACCUGCUAAUAUAUUGAACCGGAUGGUUAAAUAGUGAACUACGGCUUUGCUGUCACUUAUAGAUGGAUCCGCGCCUCAUUAGCUAGUUGGUAAGGUAACGGCUUACCAAGGCAACGAUGCGUAGCCGACCUGAGAGGGUGAUCGGCCACACUGGAACUGAGACACGGUCCAGACUCCUACGGGAGGCAGCAGUAGGGAAUCUUCCGCAAUGGGCGAAAGCUUGACGGAGCAACGCCGCGUGAGUGAUGAAGGUCUUCGGAUCGUAAAACUCUGUUAUUAGGGAAGAACAAAUGUGUAAGUAACUAUGCACGUCUUGACGGUACCUAAUCAGAAAGCCACGGCUAACUACGUG